GGGAAGUUGGCUCAGUGGUAGAGUGCUUGCCUCUCAUGCAUGAGGUCCUGGGUUCGAGUCCUCAGUACCA
rfam:Dipodomys ordii contig_71571, whole genome shotgun sequence.